UUGAAGAAGGGGGGGCAACAGGCUCUGAUGCAAAAAGCUUUGCAAGACGCAGUUCAGUUAUCUUCAGUUCUUCCUGUGCUGCGAUCUCAAGUUCAACAAUUGGCCUAUUUUCAUAGCGCCUCUGAAAGAGCAGGAUGACCUCAGGGGCAGUCCUCCCAGACGCGCAUAUCAUGAACACAAACCCAAACUUCUCCCUAUACCUGGCAUUCCAAUCUGCCAACUCCUACAGCAGGUGAAAAGAAGCAUAUUGAGCCUGCAAGUACUAGAGGCACCGACUUGGGGGCGGAGGAGGAGGUGGUGCCGAUGGCCGGGUGCGCGGCGAAGGCCUCCAGCCACCCUAUAAUAAUACCUACCUCGUUGAGCCAGAUGCGGCGGGCGGCGAGGAGGGCGUCGGCGAGGGAGGCGAAGGGGGA
rnacentral:sRNA from 1 species